rnacentral:antisense_RNA from 1 species
CACCCGACGUGGCAAAUGCGUCAGGGGCGCAUGACUGGAAUUGGAACAGGGGCCAGUCACGCGUGCGUCGGGGGAGCCGGGGCCGGUAGUCGGGGGACUACCGGCCCUUUUUUU